rnacentral:rRNA from 1 species
AAACUUUCAACAACGGAUCUCUUGGUUCUCGCAUCGAUGAAGAACGCAGCGAAGUGCGAUAAGUAAUGUGAAUUGCAGAUUUUCGUGAAUCAUCGAAUCUUUGAACGCAUAUUGCGCCCUCUGGUAUUCCGGAGGGCAUGCCUGUUUGAGCGUCAUUU